rnacentral:rRNA from 1 species
GGAGUCUGGUCCGUGUCUCAGUACCAGUGUGGGGGACCUUCCUCUCAGAACCCCUAAGGAUCGUCGGCUCGGUGGGCCGUUACCCCGCCGACUGCCUAAUCCUACGCAUCCCCAUCCCAUAGCGAUCAAUCUUUGCUCCUCGUCAGAUGCCGUCAAAGGAGAACAUCAGGUAUUAAUCCGACUUUCGCCGGGCUGUCCCUGACUAUGGGGCAGGUUGGAUACGCGUUACUCACCCGUGCGCCGGUCGCCAUCAGGGAUAGCAAGCUAUCCCCAUGCUGCCCCUCGACUUGCAUGUGUUAAGCCUGUAGCUAGCGUUCAUC